ensembl:lncRNA
AUGGGCAGGGACACCUUCCACUCUCCCAGGCUGCUCCAACCUGGCCUUGGGCACUGCCAGGGAUGGGGAAUCCUCUGGGAAAUCCAUCCCAGGGCCUGCCCACCCUCACAGGGAGGAAUUCCUUCCCAAUGUCCCAUCCAUCCGUCCCUCCCUCUGGCAGUGGAAGCCAUUCCCUGUGUCCUGGCACUCCAGGCCUUGCCCCCAGUCCCUCUCCAGCUCUCCUGGAGCUCCUUUGGACACUGGAAAAGGCUCCAAGGUGUCUCCAGAGCCUUCCCUUCUCCCAACCUGCUCCCUCCCAGCCCCACGGAUCUCUCUGAGCACAAAUUCACCAGGAACUCUCCAAACCUCAGGGAACUGGGAUCCACAGCGGGCUCUGGGGGAUCUGGGACAGUGCCCUGUGAGCAUGGAGGAGCCACAGGGGUUUGGAGGAUCUGGGACAGUGCCCUGUGUCCAUGGAAAGGUCCGGAGGAGCCACAGGGCUCUGGGAAAGUGCUCUAUGUCUAUGGAGGAGCCAGAGGGCUCUGGGGGAUCUGGGAGAGUGCCCUGUGUCCAUGGAGGAAUUUGGAACAGCCACCGGGAUUUGGGACGGUGCCCUGUGCCCACGGAAGGGUCUGGAGCAGCCAUUGGGCUCUGGGGCUGCAGUGCUGUCCCUGUGUCCACAGACGGACCCAGCAGGAGCAGAAAAGCCCCAGCUCAGCAGGGCAAGGAGCUGCCGGGGCCGCUCCUGCCCAGCCCCUGGAGCCCCGCCAGGAACGCGCGGUGGGAGCGGAGCGGAGCCGCUCCUGCCGGGACCUGCCGAGGCUCGGGCACACCCAGAGAGUCAGAGCUUCGGAAAAAAACCCUCAGCACCUGGGCAGGGGAGGGGCAGGGCCGGCAGGAACCACUUCAGAGCUGAGGAAUCCCAGGGGAGUCCUGGAUCACGUCCAGAUCCCACCCAGCUCCCUCCUCUCACCUCUCCCUGCUGCCCGACGUGCUCAGCUCCGAGUGUCAAGAGACUGGAAUUUGAGAGAAAACAGACUCAGAGAGCAAACCCUGCCCAGAGCAGGGGGGAACCCAGGGAUGUCAGCCCCAGGAUCACACACACGGAUCCCUGCGUGGGGGAAUGGAACAUGUGGGGCGAAACCUGCAUCUGUAAACACACCUGGGGGGCAGCUCUGAAUGCCACCUGUGUGGGAGCAUCCCUGAAUCCCACCCGUGUGGGGGCACCACUGAAUCCCACCCCUGUAGAGCAUCCCUGAAUCCCACCGUCUAGGGGCAUCCCUGAAUCCCACCGUGUGGGGGCAUCCCUGAAUCCCACUGUAUGGGAGCACCCCUGAAUCCCACUGUAUGGGAGCACCCCUGAAUCCUACCCCUGUGGAGCAUCCCUGAAUCUCACCUGUGUGGGGGGAUCCCUGAAUAUCACCGUGUGGGAGCUUCCCUGAAUCCCACCCGUGUGGAGCAUCCCUGAAUCCCACCCGAGGGGGGGCAUUCCUGAAUCCCACCUGUGUGGGAGCAUCCCUGAAUCCCAUCCGUGUGGGGGCACCCCUGAAUCCCACACCUGUGGAGCAUCCCUGAAUCCCACCGUCUAGGGGCAUCCCUGAAUCCCACCUGUGUGGAGGCAUCCCUGAAUCCCACCUGUAUGGGGGAGCAUCCCUGAAUCCCACCCCUGUAGGGGUAUCCCUGAAAAUCCAGGUGCACAUCCCUGUUUUCAGCGAGGAUUCUCGUUUUUCCUCACCCGGCUGGGAAAGGCGCUGGGGCGGCUCCGCCCGGCCCCGGGGCAGCUUCGGGAGCCGCUGUGGGCGCGUCCCCGGAGCCUCCCGAGCUGCGAUCCCUCUGAUCCUCCCGCGUCCCUGCCCUGGGCUGGGAACGCCGCGGCUCCAGCCCCAGCCCACUUUCGCUGGGUUUUGCACAGGAGGCAAAUCUCGGCGCUGCAAAGCUCCCGCAUCAGCACAUUGGCAGCAGCGGAGCCUGCCUGGCCAGACGGGCAUGGAAAUGCCAAGGCCAGGCAAGGGGGGAGAUCCUGGAGCUCCUGUUCUGGCCCUCCCAAGGUCCCUUUCGUGGUGCUGCUGGGCUGGACUGGAUGAUCCCGAGGGUCUCUUCCAACAUUGGUGAUUCUGUGAUUUCAUGAUCUCCCAUCCCUUCCCUCUGACCCAGCCAUCUCCAAUCCCCAGAGUCCACCUGGAACCACCCUGGAACCACGGCUCAGAGCCCAGGGAAAGCCUCCUCCUGUCUGUCAUGGGGAGAGUGGGACCUUUCCCUGCUCUGCCACCACCCAAACCUGAAUUUCUGUGAUGGGACAUCACAGAGGGGUUGGGAUGAGCCACUCUGCAGGACCUCCCUCCAUGAGAUCCCAUGGCUUGUCACCCUGAUUUUUUAAGAUUUUCUAAGUCUUCUUAUGUUUACAUUCCUGUAACGAACUUUCUCACACACUUUCUGUAAAUAACUUAUAGUUUUGCAUUCUUUUAUAGAAGAAGAGAAAUUUUAUAGGCUGUUUGUCCAGUGCCAUUGGAGAGGUGGCACUUUCACCCUCCAGUCCACUGUCACUUUUGAAAAUCUAUAAAUGUCAAAGUCAGAAAAUAAACUUCCCCUUUUUCACCUUGAGAGCA